UACGUAGGGUGCGAGCGUUAAUCGGAAUUACUGGGCGUAAAGCGUGCGCAGGCGGUUUUGUAAGACAGCUGUGAAAUCCCCGGGCUCAACCUGGGAACUGCAUUUGUGACUGCAUGGCUGGAGUGCGGCAGAGGGGGAUGGAAUUCCGCGUGUAGCAGUGAAAUGCGUAGAUAUGCGGAGGAACACCGAUGGCGAAGGCAAUCCCCUGGGCCUGCACUGACGCUCAUGCACGAAAGCGUGGGGAGCAAACAGG
rnacentral:rRNA from 1 species